rnacentral:SRP_RNA from 2 species
GGCCUAGCAACGUGGGCCUGUAACCCAAGUGGGGGCAUGUGGGAAAUGGGACUUUAGUUCGGCCCAUUGGAUCGGAUCCAGUGUUAGCUGCUUGCUGGGCUGCCCAUUCCAAGCCGAGAGUUGAGCUGUGUGAGCCGGACGAAGGUCUGGCUUGGUCAGCUCCUAAAGCGGAGGGCAAUGCGUGAGGCUGGUUUCACAGAGCAGCGACAACCUCCCGCUCUCGGCAGUGGAAGGAUAACGGGCCGGUGCUGCUUGGACCCACCAUGGUUCACUGAGCUGACUCUUAAUAGGACCAUUUCUUUU